rnacentral:rRNA from 1 species
CUUACCUACCCUUGACAUGUAUGGAAUCCUGCUGAGAGGUGGGAGUGCCCGAAAGGGAGCCAUAACACAGGUGCUGCAUGGCUGUCGUCAGCUCGUGUCGUGAGAUGUUGGGUUAAGUCCCGCAACGAGCGCAACCCUUGUCCCUAGUUGCUACGCAAGAGCACUCCAGGGAGACUGCCGGUGACAAACCGGAGGAAGGUGGGGAUGACGUCAAGUCCUCAUGGCCCUUAUGGGUAGGGCUUCACACGUCAUACAAUGGUCGGAACAGAGGGUUGCCAAGCCGCGAGGUGGAGCCAAUCCCAGAAAACCGAUCGUAGUCCGGAUCGCAGUCUGCAACUCGACUGCGUGAAGCUGGAAUCGCUAGUAAUCGCGGAUCAGCA